AAUUUUGGACAAUGGGGGAAACCCUGAUCCACCCACCCGGCGUGAAUGAUGAAGGCCUCCGGGUUUAAAAGUCCUUUGGGCGGAGAGGAAAGGUAAUCCCUAAUUAGGGGUACUGGCGACCGUAACUUGCGAAUAAGCCCCCGCUUACUAAGUGGCAAGCGCCGCGGUAAUACGUAGGGUGCAAGCGUUAAUCGGAAUUACUGGGCGUAAAGCGUGUGUAGGCGGUUCGGAAAGAAAGAUGUGAAAUCCCAGGGCUCAACCUUGGAACUGCAUUUUUAACUGCCGAGCUAGAGUAUGUCAGAGGGGGGUAGAAUUCCACGUGUAGCAGUGAAAUGCGUAGAUAUGUGGAGGAAUACCGAUGGCGAAGGCAGCCCCCUGGGAUAAUACUGACGCUCAGACACGGAAGCGUGGGGAGCAAACAG
rnacentral:rRNA from 1 species